rnacentral:rRNA from 1 species
GGCAGGCCUAACACAUGCAAGUCGAACGCCCUAGCGAUAGGGAGUGGCAGCACGGGUGUAGUAACGCGUGGGAACGUGCCCUUCGGUUCGGAAUAACUCAGGGAAACUUGAGCUAAUACCGGAUACGUGCGAGAGCAGAAAGAUUUAUCGCCGAAGGAUCGGCCCGCGUCCGAUUAGCUAGUUGGUGAGGUAAUGGCUCACCAAGGCGACGAUCGGUAGCUGGUCUGAGAGGAUGACCAGCCACACUGGGCCUGAGACACGGCCCAGACUCCUACGGGAGGCAGCAUUGGGGAAUAUUGGACAAUGGGCGCAAGCCUGAUCCAGCCAUGCCGCGUGAGUGAUGAAGGCCUUAGGGUUGUAAAGUUCUUUCGCCAGGGUACGAUAAUGACGGUACCUGGAUAAGAAGUCCCGGCUAACUU